CUCUGAUCUGUGGCAAUUACUUUGUCUUGAGAAAGUCCCGUGGGCGGGACGAAACGCGUCGACGAGUCACAGCUGAUUACGUGACGUUCUGCUCUGUUGCUGUGGGGAGCUGUAGUGUUUGCCGGUGUCUGUCGGGAGUUGGUUUCUCACACCGCGGUCUUUUUUGAAGACACCGACCGCGGUGUAAUACGCUAUAUUCAGUUUGUGGGUGA